rnacentral:misc_RNA from 2 species
CUGAGUCUAUCUCAAAACCCUUUGUGAACCUUUAUAACCUGUUGCUUCGGCGGCGCGGCCCCCGGGUCGUGCCCGCCGGUAUCAUCAGAAUCUCUGUUCGAACCCGACGAUACUUCUGAGUGUUCUAAGCGAACUGUUA